rnacentral:tRNA from 1 species
ACUUAGCUCAGUGGUAGAGCAAUCGGCUGUUAACCGAUUGGUCGCAGGUUCGAGCCCUGCAGU